rnacentral:rRNA from 1 species
UACGGGGGGAGCAAGCGUUGUUCGGAUUUACUGGGCGUAAAGGGCGCGUAGGCGGCCACCGCAAGUCGACUGUGAAAUCUCCGGGCUUAACCCGGAAAGGUCAGCCGAUACUGCGGGGCUAGAGUGCAGAAGGGGCAACUGGAAUUCUCGGUGUAGCGGUGAAAUGCGUAGAUAUCGAGAGGAACAUCUGCGGCGAAGGCGGGUUGCUGGGCUGACACUGACGCUGAUGUGCGAAAGCUAGGGGAGCGAACGGG